rnacentral:lncRNA from 1 species
AAGAAGAGAGAGAGUUAGUAAAAGGAAUGGUUCACACGAUUAUGAUGGAUUAAAAAGUCCCCAAAUCUGUAGUCUGCAAGCUAGAGACCCAGGAGAGGUGAUGAUGUAGUUCCAGUCUAAAAGAUAGCAGGCUCAAGACUCAAAAAGAGCAAAAGGUGCACCAGAGCGAAACAAGACUUGACCUUGCUGAUAUAGUUACUAGUAUCUCAGUGACAGUGAUGCCCAGUGGAAGCCAGGAACCCAUGCAGAAACGGACUUAAAGAAGGCAACUGCCUGAGACCCCAUUUCAAUGAAGGAAGAAAAUAAGGAAGUCAUGUUUUGAUAAAGCUAUCAGAAUUAAAAUAUAUGUACUAGGAUUCCAUAUCUGUUUUGGUUUAAAGAAAGAAUUUUUAGUUGGAUAAAUCUGACAAGAUUUGAAGAUAAAAACAAAAAAAAAAUCUGGAUCUCGUCUUUCUCUUAUAAAGUGCGGUUUCUUCACAUCACUCAGGAAUGUUUAUUCCAACUUAAGGCAGAACAGAAAAUUGAUUAAUGCUGACUGCUUUCCUAUGUCUCUGUACUGUAUUUACCUGAAAUAUAAACCACAAUUUCAAUAAAUGGGUUUGUC